GAACUCUGACUCACAGAUCUUGUCUGAGCUCAUGGAUCUUGUCUGAGCUCGGUCCCCAUCUAUUGAAGCCUAUUAAGCACUGUGAUAGACGAUAGCCAUUUCUAUUCAAAUCACAGUGGAGGGAUUGACCCAGGCUCCACCGCCAGGUUUGUCAUGGGCUCCACCACUGGAAAUCAUGGUGGAUGCCUCUUCAGUAAAAUGGCCAAAAAAGAAGAAUGUGGAAUAUUUAGGAGACAGCAGGUUCCAUUUUUCCCCAAACUGUGGCAUUGUUCAUCUACUUGGGACCAUACCCUUGAAGACCAUUGAGUCACCCUCCUUCAGAAGCCAUCGACUGUUGAUAGUGCCUUAGUUAGGGGUGGGGGCUAAUAAACCACCUCCACCUCUA